rnacentral:rRNA from 1 species
CUCCUACGGGAGGACAGCAUGGGGAAUCUUGCACAAUGGACGAAAGUCUGAUGCAGCAACGCCGCUGGGGGAUGAAGCUUCUCGGAGUGUAAACCCCUUUCGACCCGGAAGAAUGCCCGCAAGGGUUUGACCGGUUACCCGGGUUACGUAAGGAACGACCCCGGCUAACUACGUCGUCGAGCAGCCGCGGUAAUUCC